rnacentral:lncRNA from 1 species
UAACCCAAUUAAGAAUCUAAUUUAAUCAAAUUAAAUUAAAUUUAAAUCUGACUUAAUUUUCUAAUCAAAUUAGAAAUUAGAUUGACCCAAGUCCUAGUUGAACUAGGACUAGUUUUUCCUUGCACUUGGCUUAUCCAAUAAACUAAUUGGACUUGAUCCAAUCAAGCCCAAACUAAAUCUAAUUAAAUCAUAUUUAAUUAGAUUUAAUCUCAGCCCAUUGGCUUAAUCAAAUUAAGCCAAUUAGCAAUCGAAUUGCUAAUCGAUCCUCCUGCAACACUUGCACUGGGUUAAAUGUCAAUCGUAUUGAUCAUUUAACCCUAGAACGAUUCUUAAUCGUUGAUCAACCAUUCGAUCGGAUCAUGAACUCUAAUGUGUGUGACCUCAUAGGUCCGAACCUUAGCCGAUAGUACAGGAACAAAUUCUUAUACCAGUCGAAGUGACCAUUUAGCAAUGGUACCCGACGACCGGAUAGGUCGAAUGUGUAGAACAACAUCCUUAGAAUCCA